AAUAGCAGCACUAUCUGACUGACCCUGGUUAAUUUCAGAAACUAAACAGGGUUGAGCUAGUUGAUAUUUGGAUGAGAGAUGACCAGGAAAUCCCAGGACUGUAGGCU
rnacentral:rRNA from 1 species